CGGUAAUACAGAGGGUGCAAGCGUUAAUCGGAAUUACUGGGCGUAAAGCGCGCGUAGGUGGUUUGUUAAGUCGGAUGUGAAAUCCCCGGGCUCAACCUGGGAACUGCAUCCGAAACUGGCAAGCUAGAGUAUGGUAGAGGGUAGUGGAAUUUCCUGUGUAGCGGUGAAAUGCGUAGAUAUAGGAAGGAACACCAGUGGCGAAGGCGACUACCUGGACUGAUACUGACACUGAGGUGCGAAAGCGUGGGGAGCAAACAGGAUUA
rnacentral:rRNA from 1 species